GAUGAAGAACGUAGCGAAAUGCGAUAAGUAGUGUGAAUUGCAGAAUUCAGUGAAUCAUCGAAUCUUUGAACGCACAUUGCGCCCUUUGGUAUUCCUUAGGGCAUGCCUGUUCGAGCGUCAUUUAAACCUUCAUGCUAAGCUUGGUGUUGGGUGACUGUCCGCUUCACGGCGGACUCGCCUCAAAAUUAUUGGCGGCCGGUACAUUGGCUUCGAGCGCAGCAGAAACGCGAACUCGGGCCCGUCGUAUUGGCUCCCAGAAGCUAUCUUCACAAUUUUGACCUCGGAUCAGGUAGGGAUACCCGCUGAACUUAAGCAUAUCAAUAAGCGGAGGA
rnacentral:misc_RNA from 1 species